AAACGGCUACCACAUCUAAGGAAGUGCAGCAGGCGCGCAAAUUACCCAAUCCUAAUACAGGGAGGUAGUGACAAGAAAUAACAAUACAGGACUUUAACAGUUUUGUAAUUGGAAUGAGUUGAGUAUAAACCCCUUUACAAGUAUCAAUUGGAGGGCAAGUCUGGUGCCAGCAGCCGCGGUAAUUCCAGCUCCAAUAGCGUAUAUUAAAGUUGUUGCAGUUAAAAAGCUCGUAGUUGGAUUUCUGUUAAUAAUUUAUAUAUAAUAUUUAACAUAUUUAUAUAAUAUUAACAUAAUUCAUAUUACUAUUUAUAGUAUAUGAAACUUUACUUUGAGAAAAUUAGAGUGCUUAAAGCAGGCUUUUGCCUUGAAUACUAGAGCAUGGAAUAAUAUUAAAGAUUUUUAUCUUUCUUAUUGGUUCUAGGAUAGAAAUAAUGAUUAAUAGGGACAGUUUGGGGCGUUGUAUUUAACAGAUAGAGGUGAAUCUUAGAUUUGUUAAAGACAACUAAUGCGAAAGCAUUUGCCAAGGAUGUUUCUAAUCAGAACGAAGUUAGGGAUCGAGACGAUCAGAUAC
rnacentral:rRNA from 1 species